CCUUUAGACAAAGCAUUCUGCUGCGGCUCUGUCAGCGCACACAUCCACCGGCAGCAGGAAGGACCACAGCUGCCCGGCUGGGGGAUUACAAGCAAGAAUGAAUCAGCACCCAGGGACACUUGACUUCAUGGGCAUACAAGAACCUGCCACGUAGGCUCCUGGAGCAGACUUCCCCAUUCAAGGGCAGGGGAGCUCAAGUAUCCCCCAGACUCGGCAUCUUGGAGCGCUGCGGCAGCGUGCAUCCAGAAGGCCGCCGGGUCCCUGACCACCAUCUGUUCUGCAGGAGACAGAGGAGAGGGAGUGGAGGCUGGCAGAGUUGGUCACCAGGGUCUUGUAGAUAACCAAGGAAGUUGGCAUUGUCCUGCCCCAAGGGGCAGAAAGUACCUGGGAACGGCAGAAUGACUUUCACCAUGUCAGGAGUUCACUGGAGGUUCGCGGAUGCUGGAGCAGAGUGUCGGGGAGUGGCUGGAGUCGAUUGGGCUGCAGCAGUAUGAGAGCAAGUUGCUUCUGAAUGGCUUUGACGAUGUCCGCUUCCUGGGGUCUAAUGUGAUGGAAGAGCAGGACCUGCGGGACAUCGGCAUCAGUGACCCACAGCACCGGCGGAAGCUGCUCCAAGCGGCACGCUCCCUGCCCAAGGUGAAGACUCUGGGUUAUGACGGGAACAGCCCCCCUAGCGUGCCCUCCUGGCUGGACUCCCUGGGGCUGCAGGACUACGUCCAUUCCUUCCUGUCAAGUGGCUACAGCUCCAUUGACACCGUGAAGAACCUCUGGGAGCUAGAGCUUGUCAACGUCCUGAAGGUCCAGCUGCUCGGCCAUCGCAAGCGCAUCAUCGCCUCCCUCGCAGACAGGCCGUACGAGGAGCCGCCCCAGAAGCCCCCCAGAUUCUCCCAGCUGAGGUGCCAAGAUUUGCUCUCCCAGACGUCAUCCCCGCUGAGUCAGAAUGAUUCCUGCACUGGG
rnacentral:sRNA from 1 species